GGGGGGGGUGCGGGGAGGCGAGACCCUCGGCGGCCAGGCCAGGAAGAAAGACAGAUGCAGAAGCAGGAUGUGAAUAAAUGAGAGAAGAUAAGGUAUUGCUCUGGCAAGCAGAACAUCCUGUCUUCGAGAUGGGCUUCCCGAGACUCAUGCCCUCCGGCACUGCUUGUUGACCUCUCCUUCAAACACGGGACUUUGAGGGAUCAUCACAAUGGCCAAACCACUCUGAACCUACAUGGUUGUGAAAACUCUAGUCAUGCCCCCAUCAGAGUUUACAGUGAUGCAUUUUUUCAUGGACAAAUUAUAUUCUGUUGAGACCAGAACUUUUUGCAAGUACUUACCAGUUCUUAUGAAGCUCUUACCUGGGAAAGGUUCUCAUGCCUAGGAUGAGACUUGAAAUGCAUCAAAGAGCAAGAAAACUGUCAUCCCUCCCAGACACUCAUCCUAUGACCAAGGCACUGACUGGUGGCACAGGAGUCCAGAUUUCAAGUUUCUGUUCUGCAAGAUGUCUGAAUGUCAGAAUCCUGCAUCCCAGGCAAGUUUUAUGGCCACCAAACUAUCAGUUAUUCCGAAGAACAGCUUCCUCUGUCUCUCCUGUUGGACCUGUUUCACUUUGUAUAAAUAAUUAAACAUUAAUUGGAACAAGGACUUGAA